GCCCCUCAAAAAAGAAUCCUUCUUUAGAGAUUAAUUGAUCAAAAUCUAAAGGGAAGAAAUUAUUAUUUUUUCAAUUGUCUUUCAUUUUCCACCGACGGUCAAAUUGCUAUGUCAAAGGAAUUUAAAUUUGUGCAUUUCUUCGUAGUAAGGUUUUAAGGUCUCCCCCUACCAAUGCAAUUUUAAAUUAGUAUGGGUCAAACAUGAAAUUUCUUCAUCUUAAUUCACUUUUAAAUUUCAACCAAUUUACAAUAUUUGACAUAAGCAGUUACAAAAUUAGGUAAGCAAUACCAUUAGGAAGAAAAAU
rnacentral:lncRNA from 1 species